rnacentral:sRNA from 1 species
UAUAGCGAAAUUUUUAAUUUUUAGUUUUAUAUGCUGCGGGUUACUUCGAAGGGAGUAUUUCUCUUUUGAAUGGUUAAGGUAUUGCUCAGUAUCAAUGAUGGGCAUAAAAAAAGCGCCCGCAGGCGCUUUUUACAUAAG